UAGAUUUGAUAACGUACCAACUUCAUGUCAUAUCCCAAUAACAUUCAAAAAUGAUAUUUUAUUUCUUAUAUUUAUAUUUCCUAUUUUGAUUUGUGUUCUUACCGAGCUUCCAUGAUUAUGUAGCAGAUGACCAAAAUAACGAUCGUAGAACACAAAAUAUAGUUCGUAAGAGUUUUAUCGAAUAAAAAAUUAGGAACAAUAUCAAAGAGAAUAUAAGAUAUGGAAAUUUAAUUGAAAAUGUAAAAAAAAAAAAAAAAAAAAAGACGAAACAUGUGUAAAAAUAAAGCUAAUUUAGAGCGUAAAGUUAACUGAAAUGACGACAAGAAGAGCGGAGUAAACUACAUCCGUGGUGUGAUUUGGUCGCAAUCAGCGAUGGAGAAACUGGCGUCGGUCUAACUACUAAGUUGAAAACGCAAUUGUUGAUCACAGAUUUCGACAGAAAUUCAAAGGAUUUGAGAGAAUUGAUGGUGGAUAUGAUGGGUCAAGUUAACAUUAAGCUCUUAGUCAGGUUUUUGGAAAGAAACAACGGUAUGUUCAUCGUUAGGACUCGUGGUUGUAGACGAUUCAAGACAGUAGGACAGAUUUAGACCAAGUGCAGGAUUUUAAUGAAGACUCGCACCGGUACCCUGACAUGAACAUGUAAAUUUUUCGAGCCUCGAAACCAGCCUCGCUUAUGAUCAUGCCGAGUCAUAGCCAUGAUGGAAGUUGCCAGGAAACAACAGGUUAACUUAUCAUCAUGAAGUAAAUACAUGUAGGCUUAUAACUCUGCCUACAUGUUUUCGCUUCCAAUAUCAUAGAACUUUAUUUUAUAAAUUCGCCAUGCAGAAGUUGCAGACGGUAUUUAAAACUGUAUAAAAUGAAACAACAGAACGAUAUAUGUUUAAUGUUUGUCUUUUAUAAAUUGAUGAAAUUCUUGUUUGUUUACAAAAUAAACUGUAUAAAUAUCC